rnacentral:rRNA from 1 species
AGGCAGCAGUGGGGAAUAUUGGACANUGGGCGAAAGCCUGAUCCAGCCAUGCCGCGUGUGUGAAGAAGGCCUUCGGGUUGUAAAGCACUUUAAGCGAGGAGGAAGGUUCGUUACUUAAUACGUAACGGAAUUGACGUUACUCGCAGAAUAAGCACCGGCUAACUCUGUGCCAGCAGCCGCGGUAAUACAGAGGGUGCAAGCGUUAAUCGGAAUUACUGGGCGUAAAGCGCGCGUAGGCGGUUGUGUAAGUUGGAUGUGAAAUCCCCGGGCUUAACCUGGGCACUGCAUUCAAAACUGCACGGCUAGAGUAUGGGAGAGGAAGGUAGAAUUCCAGGUGUAGCGGUGGAAAUGCGUAGAGAUCUGGAGGAAUACCGAUGGCGAAGGCAGCCUUCUGGCCUAAUACUGACGCUGAGGUGCGAAAGCAUGGGGAGCAAACAGGAUUAGAUACCCUGGUAGUCCAUGCCGUAAACGAUGUCGACUAGGUGUUGGGGAACUUGGAUUCCUUAGUGCCGCAGCUAACGCAUUAAGUCGACCGCCUGGGGAGUACGGUCGCAAGACUAAAACUCAAAUGAAUUGACGGGGGC